UUCUGCUGUGAAACGCAUCAGGUUGCUAAGCUACGGGUGUCUUCUGGCCGUUGUGAGGUCAGCAGCCAUUUUAGAUCCAGGAAAUCAGGUGAGGCAGGUUAGCUGCGAUCAAUCGCUUUAAUUGAUCAAUUAAGUGCUGGGGAACAACGAGAACCACAUGGUACUGCGGCUCUCCAGGGCUCAGCUGAGAACUCCAGGUGCAGUUGUACAACCACAGAACUAAACCUCACACGGCUAACAUUUCUGUAAUGGAGUACCGGCUGGCUCUUCAGGGGAAAUGUGGAGGCGCAGCCAUGAGAAGGACAGGCAGCGGUUUGGGCCUCCUUCCCUGGAGUGACAUCACCAGGCCCACAGCGAGCAAGAGCGAGAGAGAGAGAGAGCGCGUGCGUGCACACCUUUGAUGGGGUUGAAGAAGUUGAAGAAGGAGUCGGUGGGCACUUGCUUGGUGAUGGUCCGGACGGUGCCACGCCCCUUGUGCUUCUGCUUCUUCUUGAUGGUCUUCACCGUCACGUCCUUGCCUUUGAUCCAGUCGAUGUCACAGCUGGGCGGAGCCAGAGGGGGAAGACAAGGAUUCGCAGGUCACCUGGAGCGGCGUUCUCAAACCUCACUCCUUACACAGCAGAGUCUCUCUGUUCACCAGCUUUACCACGGUCGGGAGGCCUGGACGGACAGAGGGAGGAGAUUCAGGUCUGUCAGCACCUUCAUGCCUGUACUUUCAGCAUCCGCUCUGACCCAGAGCUCUGACCCAGAGCAGCUUACAGAAGGUCUCAUGUAAAGGCUCAGGCACAGAGCAGAGCAGACGAUGGCGAUAGGCCCAAAGACAUCGAUGGGACAGAGGGAGUACACUUAAUACCUUUCCCUUUUAAUAAACCACAAAUAAUGCAAACUUCUAUGUGCCAUUUCCAUCUCCGGGGGAAAGCUUCAGUAAG